rnacentral:snRNA from 1 species
AUACUAAAUGAGAGUUGGAAUGG